rnacentral:lncRNA from 1 species
AAUUCAAAAAACAAGAGUAUUAAAGCUGAGUAGCUAAUCUGAUCUUCUAAAAAUUAGGUUGCCAAAACAAGCUGCUGUAUUUGAUGUAGCCACUGAAUUGGUCUAUUUUUUUUUUCCUGAUACAAAGACAAAUCUCAGUCUAGUGCCUCAGUGCAAAGAGGUUGGUGGUUGUUUCAAAAUUUUCAGCUUUUCAGCAAUUAUCUCAGAAAUUACAAUUAGAGAAAAAAAAGUUUCUUACAUAUUGUAGGUCUUUGAGAAGAAAAAAGGCUUAUUUCAAAUCCCUUGUUUUUCUAGGCUUAACACUGUGGUCCUGGGUUUUAAAAGCAUCAUGGACAAAUUUCAGGAGUCAGCAACUGGCCUCGUCAGUAGAUUUGGCACUUAUGCCUGGAGUAGCCGACUGCACUAAGCCCGCUGCAUAAUCAGACAUUCCCAUCUAUCUUCAUCUGCAGGUAAAAAGUUGUGACAAAUUUCAGACACGAGUUUUACUCCUCCCUCUUGAAAGUGCUUGUACAUAAAGCAUACCAAGAACCCUAGAGUUUAAAGAAUUUCCUAAGUGCAUGUGUAUACAGACAUCACUUCCCACUUUCUUCCUAAGGUUAGAAAUCUGAGCAAGCUCUCAGCUCCUGUUCUGUGAAAUGUUUGCUUUCUCAAAAAGGUUGUGUUCUGGAGCAUGCCUUUCAGAAUGCAUUGGUAUUAUUUUUCAUACUGCUUUUAGUUUCUAGUCCUCUGUUCUAUGGUGUAAUUAAGUUGGUGAAGCAAGCAGGGAAAAUGCAUUCUUGUAAUGUGUUCUGCAGUCUGUGAACGGAACAGAGUUAAAUAUAUCUCUGCAUUUGUUGUAUUAUUGAAUAAAUUCCUUUCAGUGGGGCA